UCAGGAUGAACGCUGGCGGCGUGCUUAACACAUGCAAGUCGAACGAAGCACUUUCUUACGAUCCCUUCGGGGUGACGAGUUUGUGACUGAGUGGCGGACGGGUGAGUAACGCGUGGGUAACCUGCCUUAUACAGGGGGAUAACAGUUGGAAACGGCUGCUAAUACCGCAUAAGCGCACAGUAUCGCAUGAUACAGUGUGAAAAACUCCGGUGGUAUAAGAUGGACCCGCGUCUGAUUAGCUAGUUGGUGAGGUAACGGCUCACCAAGGCGACGAUCAGUAGCCGAUCUGAGAGGAUGAACGGCCACAUUGGGACUGAGACACGGCCCAGACUCCUACGGGAGGCAGCAGUGGGGAAUAUUGCACAAUGGGCGAAAGCCUGAUGCAGCGACGCCGCGUGAGCGAUGAAGUAUUUCGGUAUGUAAAGCUCUAUCAGCAGGGAAGAUAAUGACGGUACCUGACUAAGAAGCACCGGCUAAAUACGUGCCAGCAGCCGCGGUAAUACGUAUGGUGCAAGCGUUAUCCGGAUUUACUGGGUGUAAAGGGAGCGUAGGCGGUCUUGCAAGUCUGAUGUGAAAGCCCGGGGCUCAACCGCGGGAUUGCAUUGGAAACUGUAGGACUUGAGUAUCGGAGAGGUAAGUGGAAUUCCUAGUGUAGCGGUGAAAUGCGUAGAUAUUAGGAGGAACACCAGUGGCGAAGGCGGC
rnacentral:rRNA from 1 species